GGGGGUUGGAGAUGGAGAUGCAGAUGGACUCUUGGGCGAAGUGUAAAAGUGAGUCCGGGUUCUGGGGGAUCAGACCAAGGAGACACUGCAGGACACUGGUCAGGACGUCCAGCUGUGUGUUCUCCAGUGGAGAAGUGGUGGAGACUCCCAGCCCGAAACAGGACACACUCUCAGAAAGCUGGAGCGCUGCCACUCGCAUUUCUCCAGCACCUCCUCCUUUUUCUGAGGGGAGUUGCAGCAACGGAAAAGGGGAAGAAAAGCCAGAGAAGAGUCCAGCAAAUAAGAAACAGACCUACCAUGCUGCAACUGGGACGAGGGUGAUGUCACAGAUCAAAGACUUAUAUAAUCCCAAUUAAAGUUAGGAGCCGCUGUUAAUUAAAAUGUUUUACGCACUGAAGAUAUGAUUGUUCCUUAAGUUGCACAGAGAGCUAAUGGCCCAGUUCAAGUCAAGUUUAGUUAUCUAGGGCAUAUAACAGAGGGUUUUAAUCAUAAAGUACCUAUACAGACAUCUGGCAUUGAGCACCUUGUGAGCAGGCCAAAGACAGCAGUGACAAGAAAAAACUCCUUAAGAGGAACUACGGAAAAAUAAGAACUGACUACAUACGGUAACUUUAAUUUGUAUAUAGAAGUAACUUUGAGCACAGCAAAUCCAUUUCCUUUUUUACAGUCCCUGUACAUUAUGGGCAGUUUUCCAGAGAGGGAUUAAGCAUAGUCUUGGACAACACAGCAUUUUGAAUGAGAGAUUUUCCAUUGAAAGUAAAAUAUAUUCUAUAAAUAGGUUUAAUCCCUGUCCAGGGAGUGGUACAAAUCGUCAUUAUUAUGGCAUUAUUAUACGGUAUAUAACUGUCCUUUCAGUGUAUACUCAUCCACAAAAAAAUCAUCUGCUCCCAGAAGAAAUCAACCAACAAGAAUUUGGUGGCAGGACUUGACAAGACAUGUAAAUAUAUAUAUAUAUAUAUAUAUAUAUAUAUAUACGGUGUGGGUUUUAAUGUUGUGGAACUGUGUUUGAUCUGUAUUAUUUUGAUCUUUGAUCUGUAUUAUCCUUACUGGAAUAUUGUUCAUGGUAACCAGACAUAAAUCCGCUUCGAUAAACAGCACAAGUGGCUGCAAACACCCACACAGACAAACUUAGGCCAUGCCAAAAUGCAAAAUCACUAUAUGCAUAUUUUAAUACAUGGAAUCGUACAAGCAUACUAGGAGAUCAAAAUGCAUACCCGUUAUGCAAAAUGCGUACAUGACAGGUAUUAAUAAAUGUUUGGCAUUCGUAAAUUGAUUUAAAAUC
rnacentral:lncRNA from 1 species